UACGUAGGGCAGCGAGCGUUGUUCGGAGUUACUGGGCGUAAAGGGUGCGUAGGCGGUUGUUUAAGUUUGGUGUGAAAUCUCCCGGCUCAACUGGGAGGGUGCGCCGAAUACUGAAUGACUAGAGUGCGGGAGAGGAUAGUGGAAUUCCUGGUGUAGCGGUGAAAUGCGUAGAUAUCAGGAGGAACACCGGUGGUGUAGACGGCUAUCUGGACCGUAACUGACGCUGAGGCACGAAAGCGUGGGUAGCAAACAGG
rnacentral:rRNA from 1 species